CCCUUAGAUGUUCUGGGCCGCACGCGCGCUACACUGAUUCAUGCAACAAGUUUUGUCCUUGGCUGAUAGGCCUGGGUAAUCUUUGAACGUGAAUCGUGAUGGGGAUAGAUGAUUGCAAUUAUUCAUCUUCAACGAGGAAUUCCUAGUAAACGCAAGUCAUCAGCUUGCAUUGAUUACGUCCCUGCCCUUUGUACACACCGCCCGUCGCUACUACCGAUUGGAUGGUUUAGUGAGAUCCUCGGAUUGGUCACGGCACGGUGGCAACACUGCGUCGGUGUGCCGAGAAGACGAUCAAACUUGAUCAUCUAGAGGAAGUAAAAGUCGUAACA
rnacentral:rRNA from 1 species